rnacentral:rRNA from 1 species
GGCGAACGCUGGCGGCGUGCUUAACACAUGCAAGUCGAACGGAAAGGCCUGCUUUCCCUUGUGGAUUGCGGGUACUCGAGUGGCGAACGGGUGAGUAACACGUGAGUGAUCUGCCCCCAACUUGGGUAUAAGCCUGGGAAACUGGGUCUAAUUCCCGAUAGGACUGCAGGGUGGUGCCUGUGGUGGAAAACGAUUUUCUAGUGGUUGGGGAUGAGCUCGCGGCCUAUCAGCUUGUUGGUGGGGUAAUGGCCUACCAAGGCGGCGACGGGUAGCCGGCCUGAGAGGGUGGACGGCCACAUUGGGACUGAGAUACGGCCCAGACUCCUACGGGAGGCAGCAGUGGGGAAUAUUGCACAAUGGGCGGAAGCCUGAUGCAGCGACGCCGCGUGGGGGAUGACGGCCUUCGGGUUGUAAACUCCUUUCGACCGCGAGGAAGCCACCUGGUUGGAAGGGUGGUGAUGGUAGUGGUAGAAGAAGCACCGGCUAACUACGUG